GUAGGGAAUAUUGGGCAAUGGAUGCAAGUCUGACCCAGCCAUCCCGCGUGCCGGAAGAAGGCCCUCAGGGUUGUAAACGGCUUUUGACGGUGAAGAAUCGACAGGAUGCGUCCUGUUUUGACGGUAGCCGUUGAAUAAGCACCGGCUAACUCCGUGCCAGCAACCGCGGUAAUACGGAGGGUGCGAGCGUUGUCCGGAUUUAUUGGGUUUAAAGGGUGCGUAGGCUGGAAGGUCAGUCAGCGGUGAAAAGCUGUCGCUUAACGAUAGUCUUGCCGCAGAUACUUCCUUUCUUGGAUGAGGAGGAGGCCACUGGAACGGAUGGUGUAGCGGUGAAAUGCAUAGAUAUCAUCCAGAACACCGAUUGCGAAGGCAGGUGGCUGUACCUUAAUCGACGCUGAUGCACGAAAGCAUGGGGAGCAAACAGGAUUAGAUACCCUGGUAGUCC
rnacentral:rRNA from 1 species